AAACUAAACAAGCUAUUAACCAUCAGCCUGAGAGUCCUAAAUCAGGGCAUAAGGUAAAAAUCACACUUUCAUCUUCCGUGUGUCACAUCGAUAUGAGUCCUCCCGUCGACGGUAACAGUAAUGGUCGGCAGAGACGUUGCUGGGGUGGAGUAGCUCUGCCAACACAAAUAAAAAUGGAGCUCGGUGCCUGCAAGGGAUAAAAUCAUGAACUGUCACUCAUCAGUCAGCACUUUACUCGUCGGUUGGCCUCACUAACUGACACAGUAACCUUAGUAACUAACCGCACGGGCUGUCUUCGCCUGUAUGGCGGGUCUGUCUUAUUUAGUGCUCCGGUUUUCGGGCUCCGCUGGUCGGACUUACGGAGUGUUUUCUAAAGGCUUGACGAGGACUUUGUUGAUAUUUUUUGAUCUCGCAUGGCGACUGCGAAUCAGAUUCCCUUAUAUCUACCUGGUCGCUUCGAUGAUGUUUAAUGUCAGAUUACAGGUCCACAUUGAAAUUCACUGACUCUUCAAUGCCGAUAUUUGGAAUGAAAUCGAUCAAUUGUGGCCAAUGCCAUGCUGCAGCCCUUUUAAAAGAAGCUGUUGGGCACUAGACAGCAAUUUGAAGGAAGUGGGUACUAAAUUCUCUGUGACGAUGCAUCAAAGUGACACACACCACUGGUCGUCGCGGUCAGCCCUCGCCACACAAGCCCAGUGCCUUUGCAGAAGAAGGACAGCAGGGAAGUCUGCAAAAAUGAGCCGGGGUGAAUGAUGAUGUGUGAGGGUGGAGGGGGAAACAAUGCCUCACGUUAGCCCUUUUAACUCGCUCACCUGACCACCAGGAACCGCCUGCCAGUCUAAGGAGAUAAUGUCAGAUGACCUGUGAAUUUUUGAAACUUCCUUUUCUCUCUGGAUAUCAAGGACUUUUGCCUGGAAUUUAAAAUGAAUGAGUGUUACUGUGGUACUUUAAAGCUAUUCUUCAUUGUCUGACAUAUAACAACUGCUCAGUGUCAACAUCUCACAUUAAUUUAAAAAGUAAAUAUCUGCACCGCAUGACACAAACAAGCAUGCUGUGGCUCGGGACACUUUGUUUGGGGUUAGCUGUAUCAGCGGUACAUCUUGGUUGUAGGAGAACAGUACAGCUGCCUCUACUGGAAACGCACAGUCUGUUAUAAAGUGCAGUCUCAAAGGGAAUCACUGCAUGGUCCUUUCUGUUUGCACACACAUGUCGUCUCACUCAUUGUUAUUUCUGCUUAUCAGUGGCAGUGGAAAGGUGGUGUGGUGAAAAUGUUACCCUUUAAAUUAAACAUUGUUUUGCUGCUUUUGUUUUUAUGUGGAAAAUGUGGUUGGAAUUCACAGUAUUGAAGCUAAGGAUGAUUGCAUUUGGAAAGUAAUAAAUUAAUGAAAUCACA